GUGCUGGCUUUAGCACACAGAUACUAAAAUUGGAACAAUAAAGAGAAGAUUAGCACAGCCCCUGUGCAAGGAUGACACACGUAUUUGUGAAGCAUUCUAUAUUUUU